AAGGAGGUAUCCCAAUUCUUCUACUAUUAUCUCCAAGAAAAUUCGACUGAAAAUGCUGUGCACGGCCUUGUGAGCAGUUCAUUUGAGAAAUUUUAAGUUGAUCCAUAGAGAAAUGAUGCUUUAAAGCAGAAGAGGAAGAUGUUCCAAACGAACAUUGAAGAUUUCGUAGGUUAUCAGUACGAGCAUCUUCAGUAUCACCCAUUUAGCCUCAAACACUAGAACGAUAAUGCUCGAAAGAGGAAAUAUAAA
rnacentral:misc_RNA from 1 species